CAUUACCGAGUGAGGGCCCUUUGGGUCCAACCUCCCACCCGUGUUUAUUUACCUCGUUGCUUCGGCGGGCCCGCCUUAACUGGCCGCCGGGGGGCUCACGCCCCCGGGCCCGCGCCCGCCGAAGACACCCCCGAACUCUGCCUGAAGAUUGUCGUCUGAGUGAAAAUAUAAAUUAUUUAAAACUUUCAACAACGGAUCUCUUGGUUCCGGCAUCGAUGAAGAACGCAGCGAAAUGCGAUACGUAAUGUGAAUUGCAAAUUCAGUGAAUCAUCGAGUCUUUGAACGCACAUUGCGCCCCCUGGUAUUCCGGGGGGCAUGCCUGUCCGAGCGUCAUUGCUGCCCUCAAGCCCGGCUUGUGUGUUGGGCCCCGUCCUCCGAUUCCGGGGGACGGGCCCGAAAGGCAGCGGCGGCACCGCGUCCGGUCCUCGAGCGUAUGGGGCUUUGUCACCCGCUCUGUAGGCCCGGCCGGCGCUUGCCGAUCAACCCAAAUUUUUAUCCAGGUUGACCUCGGAUCAGGUAGGGAUACCCGCUGAACUUAAGCAUAUCAAUAAGCGGAGGAAAA
rnacentral:rRNA from 1 species